rnacentral:lncRNA from 1 species
GAGUAUGUUAACAAUACAGCAUACUUUAUUUUUUUUUUAUUCCACACAUCCCAUCUUGGACAUUGCCUUCCUCUCACGCCCCAACUGGGUGAGUUCUCAAUUGACAGUGAGCCAGAACACUUCCCCCACACCUGAAAAGAGGGAUGAACUCCUGAACUUUUCAGGAUGGGACCCUCUGGGCCCAGAAGGCUACGUCCCAAAAGAGGACAGCUCAGGGGGCCUGAGUCUGCAUAGGAGGUUGGGCUGCUGUACGUAGUAUACAUGACCUCGGCUUUGGUCUCCCAGGACACCUCCUUACAUGGUCAGAUGGAACUUUAAACAAAGAGGUCAUCCACUCGCCUCUACGGUUUGGGCUGGAGUGAUAAGCUCCAGGUCUGCAGCUUUCCUUUAUCUCACUAAGAGAUGGAUGAGAACUUGUAGAUAUGGGCAGUUCAGGGCUCACCAUGAGGGAUCCAGCCUGACCCCCAAAUUUGAGGGCAUACCCCCUCCACCCCAGUCACAAACUACCUAUACUUGUAGGCUACAGAUUCUAAAGACCUGUUUGGUACCAAAAGUCCUGAGCUAGAACAUCCUUGAUGCCCAACCCAAUCUCUGUAUGAAGACUUACUUGGCAGAAGAUAACUAUAUUGUUGAACUGUUCUUGCCAAUUAAGAGGUUUCUCUUGAUGUCCAGCUGAAAUCUACCAUCUCAAUACCAUUGGGUGGAGUCAAGUAGUUGUUUCAGCUAGUGGUGGCUGCUAUGGGACAUCUGGGUAUUAGAAGAGAAUGUGGUAUGCAUCAUGGCUGCCUUCCACAUAUGGCAUGGUGGGGGAGAUCUUCCCAUCACCAGAACUGAAGAUAUUGGAGGUGAUGGAACUCAGCCUACAUUCAAGAAGUUUGUUUUCUCACGAGGCUCAGUAGAGUCACAGGACCUCCUCAGGUUUCCUAGACUGUCCUUUACUUGUGUUGACUGUCUUUUGGCCUUAGAUUGUUAUUCUUAAGUUUGCUGAUGUCACUUCCUUCUCACAUCUCCACCUUGUCCCUCCAAUGAGAAGACAUUUUGCUUUUUGUUUUCUACAGAUUAAAAGAGCAGUCACAUCUCUUGACAUCUUUGGCUUCGAAGAUCUAGAAUUAGGACUGUUACCACCUUUCCCAGCCCAAGUGUAUUUCUCUAAUAAACACAAGGUUUCUUAAUGUUUUAGAAUGAAG